rnacentral:rRNA from 1 species
AUGCACGCUGGCGGCGUGCCUAAUACAUGCCAGUCGAGCGAACGGACGAGAAGCUUGCUUCUCUGAUGUUAGCGGCGGACGGGUGAGUAACACGUGGAUAACCUACCUAUAAGACUGGGAUAACUUCGGGAAACCGGAGCUAAUACCGGAUAAUAUUUUGAACCGCAUGGUUCAAAAGUGAAAGACGGUCUUGCUGCCACUUAUAGAUGGAUCCGCGCUGCAUUAGCUAGUUGGUAAGGUAACGGCUUACCAAGGCAACGAUGCAUAGCCGACCUGGGAGGGUGAUCGGCCACACUGGAACUGAGACACGGUCCAGACUCCUACGGGAGGCAGCAGUAGGGAAUCUUCCGCAAUGGGCGAAAGCCUGACGGAGCAACGCCGCGUGAGUGAUGAAGGUCUUCGGAUCGUAAAACUCUGUUAUUAGGGAAGAACAUAUGUGUAAGUAACUGUGCACAUCUUGACGGUACCUAAUCAGAAAGCCACGGCUAACUACGUG